rnacentral:rRNA from 1 species
AGAGUUUGAUCCUGGCUCAGAUUGAACGCUGGCGGCAUGCUUUACACAUGCAAGUCGAACGGCAGCACGGGAGCUUGCUCCUGGUGGCGAGUGGCGAACGGGUGAGUAAUGCAUCGGAACGUACCGAGUAAUGGGGGAUAACGCAUCGAAGGGUGUGCUAAUACCGCAUACGCCCUGAGGGGGAAAGUGGGGGAUUCGCAAGGACCUCACGUUAUUCGAGCGGCCGAUGCCUGAUUAGCUAGUUGGUGAGGUAAAGGCUCACCAAGGCGACGAUCAGUAGCUGGUCUGAGAGGAUGAUCAGCCACACUGGAACUGAGACACGGUCCAGACUCCUACGGGAGGCAGCAGUGGGGAAUUUUGGACAAUGGGCSCAAGCCUGAUCCAGCCAUUCCGCGUGAGUGAAGAAGGCCUUCGGGUUGUAAAGCUCUUUCGGCAGGGAAGAAAUCGCGAGGGGUAAUAUCCCUCGCGGAUGACGGUACCUGAAGAAGAAGCACCGGCUAACUACGUGCCAGCAGCCGCGGUAAUAC